UUCACUAAUAAGAAUAUAAUAUUAUGUUUAAAUUUGAUCUGAAAAUACACGUCAUUUUCUUUUAAACAGAAUAGCUAACCUUUUUCCUUUAUUUCGCUCAAUCUCUUCCUUCCCCCUCCAUUUUCUCACAAAUUACGAUUAGCUUUACUCUGAAACUUGUCAGGUUUGUCGACUCCAUCUCGGGCAUCUGCCCAAAAAUCUCGCAACCCAAAAGUCUCACAAGAUUCCGAUGCUGAAGCUUGGCAAUGUAGAUAACUUCGUUCUUCAAUUCAUCAAGUCCUUGCAUGGAAGACCUUGAUAGUCUCUUCACAGCAAUUUCUUGUCCUUCUUCCAGCACCCCCUAGAAAUGGCAAAAGUAUAUCAGUAGAUAGCAUUAACUGGUUACUAUUCCAAAAUUUUGCAGUGUAUACCUUGUAUACAGGUCCAAAUCCACCCUCUCCAAUCUUGUUGUUUACUGAAAAGUUAUUUGUGGCUUUUGUUAUUGUCGAUAGUUGGAACAGUGGCAGCUCAAAAUCUUCUUUGUGUUUCAGUUUCUUCUUCUUUUUCCGUCUGUACAAGAACAGAAUCAGGCCUAGCAGACACAUUGCCAUCAACAAUGAGAAACUCAUUUAGUUGUUUAGGUAUCCCACUCCAUCGAAAACCAUUCCAUGGUCCUGCACGGACUGAUACUCUUGUGCCACGCUUGGUGAGGGCCUGUGGAUAUCCAGUAGGGUCAAUGUGACGAGUGAAUUCUCCUGGAGCUGGAUCAUUAUCGUUCUUCCAUGCUGAAAGGUAACUCUCAUGGCCAGUUUUAAAAUUCUUGCCAAGCUUCAUACCAGGCAAGUGCGUAUCAGUAGGAAAAUUGAAGCUCUGCCAGAGGAAAUUUUGUGGGUUGCCAUCAUUUGCAUCUUUUACAACAAGAUUACCAGAAUCUAAAAGAAGUGCAACUGGAUUUUGGAUUGAUCUUGAGGUGUUAGUGGACCAUAUAAUUUCAUUCUUGUCAUUGAGAAGGGCAAGUAUUCCCGGCUUGGUGACCUUCAAAGCAACUGAAGAUGUAC